CUGGGCGUGAGGAAGAUGAUGACGCGGGCAUACUUUCCUGAUUAAUUCAUAAGGACCUGAGCAGGGCCUUAACCCCUUCUGCUUGCAAUAGCAAACAGAGGCUACUGGAAUAAAAUAAACACAGGUCUGACUAUGGACCCCUUUUCAUUGAGAUCGGAAGAUAUCAGAUGUCAUGUCCACCACGUGCAUCGCAGCGCCUAACUUUGGCGGACCAGUAUCAAGAACCGGAACAGGCAAGCCAACGUGUUGGGUGACAGUCAACCUGUGCAAGUCACAGCUCCAGUUCCCAAAAGGCUGAAGGCUCCCUCAGAGCAGAGCUUCACUAACUUGGCACACGCAGAGAUCUCAGCCCCUACCACAGCGCCUGUGCCAACAGUGUGCUGGCUAGCUGAUGUCACCUGGAUGCAAGCUGCACUCAUCUGAGAGGAGGGAUCCUCAAGUCUAUGAAGUUGGGCUACCGGCAGUCUGAGGUGUCCGGCCGGUCUCGUCGCCUCUGGCAGGCCACCCAACUCAACAAUCAAGCAGCACGAGAGAUCUUUCCCUUUGCAUUUUUGAGACCAGAAAAGGAGUCUUGAAGUCUUCUCCACUUCCACAGACUCUGGCAUAGUCCUGUGUCUUCAGAUUCUUUUUCUUGUUUGGUCCCAGGCCCACUGUUGUCUUCACUGAAACAAUAAAAGCACAGCCCAUCAGCACUGAAAUGACAACAGAAACCUUUCACCGCAGAAGUCAAGGCACUUGGUGUGUGUG